AUUGAACGUUGGCGGCAUGCCUUACACAUGCAAGUCGAACGGCAGCACGGGAGCAAUCCUGGUGGCGAGUGGCGAACGGGUGAGUAAUAUAUCGGAACGUGCCCAGUCGUGGGGGAUAACGUAGCGAAAGCUACGCUAAUACCGCAUACGAUCUAUGGAUGAAAGCGGGGGAUCGCAAGACCUCGCGCGAUUGGAGCGGCCGAUAUCAGAUUAGGUAGUUGGUGAGGUAAAGGCUCACCAAGCCGACGAUCUGUAGCUGGUCUGAGAGGACGACCAGCCACACUGGGACUGAGACACGGCCCAGACUCCUACGGGAGGCAGCAGUGGGGAAUUUUGGACAAUGGGCGCAAGCCUGAUCCAGCAAUGCCGCGUGCAGGAUGAAGGCCUUCGGUUGUAACUAGCUUUGUACGGUAACGAAACGGUAGAGCUCUAAUACAGUUUGCUAAUGACGGUACCGUAAGAAUAAG
rnacentral:rRNA from 1 species